rnacentral:rRNA from 1 species
AACGAACGCUGGCGGCAUGCCUAACACAUGCAAGUCGAACGAAGCCUUCGGGCUUAGUGGCGCACGGGUGCGUAACGCGUGGGAAUCUGCCCUUGGGUUCGGAAUAACAGUUAGAAACGGAAGCUAAUACCGGAUGAUGACGUAAGUCCAAAGAUUUAUCGCCCAAGGAUGAGCCCGCGUAGGAUUAGCUAGUUGGUGGGGUAAAGGCUCACCAAGGCGACGAUCCUUAGCUGGUCUGAGAGGAUGAUCAGCCACACUGGGACUGAGACACGGCCCAGACUCCUACGGGAGGCAGCAGUAGGGAAUAUUGGACAAUGGGCGAAAGCCUGAUCCAGCAAUGCCGCGUGAGUGAUGAAGGCCUUAGGGUUGUAAAGCUCUUUUACCCGGGAUGAUAAUGACAGUACCGGGAGAAUAAGCUCCGGCUAACUCCGUGCCAGCCGCCGCAGUAA